AUUGAAAUUCUUUUUUUUUUUAGUUUAAAUAACAACUUACAGUUCUGUACUCAAAGAGAACCUUUCAAUUCUGAAUAAUAACUAUACAGGAGGCUGGAAGAGGAAGAGCCAAAUAACAGAGCAACAUUGCCAGUGAGUGAUCCCUCUGCUCUCAACCACAUAUGUAGAUUUUCUCCAAGAAGGAGAACAAUUGCUCACUAGAGACCAGAAGAGAAUCUGAAGACUAAAGGCAAAACUAGCAAGUUAAAAAACAUUCUGAAAGAAGAUAAGAGAUGAGAUAUGGGAAGAGGAGAUCAUUUGUUGCAUUCUAAGAGAAGAUGCUCCUGCCUUAUGAUGGAACACUGCCUUGAAAUUUGACCCCCCCCCCAAUUAUCCUUCUGGAGAGCACUGAGGACCAGGAGCUAGGAUAGGGUGUCAGAGGGAGAUGAGAAUGUGAGUGCCUCAGAGAAGUGCAGCUGCCAUGUCAGAUGUUCCUAUUUGAGGUAUUCACCAGGACCUGUAAUGUAUUAUCUACAAAUUCAAUGAAGAGACAAAUAUUGACCCCUCUAUCAGACCUCUGACUCUUUCUGCACAUAUAUGAGCAAAAGUAAACACUGGAGCAACAGAAAGCAAAAGAGGACCACAGAAUGAAAUUGUAGCAGUAAAUCUAUUGAAGUUACCAAGUUAUUUUGAAGCUAAUUAUGGCUGUGUGCAAAGCAAAUGAAGUGAGAAGAACUGAAUUAAUGAAGACCAGCUACCUCCUACAAGCUAAUGAGGCAUGUUUUAUACCAAUAGCUCUUCAAAUUGAAAAAUUAAACCACUUGAAAAGGAAA